rnacentral:rRNA from 1 species
UACGGGGGGGGCAAGCGUUGUUCGGAAUUACUGGGCGUAAAGGGCUCGUAGGCGGCCAACUAAGUCGGAUGUGAAAUCCCCAGGCUUAACCGGGGAACUGCGUCUGAUACUGGAUGGCUUGAGAUUGGGAGAGGGAUGCGGAAUUCCAGGUGUAGCGGUGAAAUGCGUAGAUAUCUGGAGGAACACCGGUGGCGAAGGCGGCAUCCUGGACCAACACUGACGCUGAGGAGCGAAAGCCAGGGGAGCAAACGGG